rnacentral:rRNA from 1 species
UACGUAGGCAGCAAGCGUUGUUCGGAGUUACUGGGCGUAAAGAGUGCGUAGGCGGUCCUGUAAGUUUGGUGUGAAAUCUCCCGGCUCAACUGGGAGGGUGCGCCGAAGACUGCAGGGCUUGAGUAUGGGAGAGGUAAGCGGAAUUCCUGGUGUAGCGGUGGAAUGCGCAGAUAUCAGGAAGAACACCCGUGGCGAAGGCGGCUCUCUGGGACGGUACUGACGCUGAGACGCGAAAGCGUGGGGAGCGAACAGG